UAUUAAGUCUCAUACUUAUGUUUCUUAUUUCAGUUAUCAUAAACCUAUAGUUUCAAUGAUAAAUAUUCCUGAAUAACCAACAGCUACUGUAAGAUAAUAAAACCCACAUGUAUUGUAAAAUA